rnacentral:lncRNA from 1 species
UAGGUACUUUUUAUUGUAUAUAAUCAUGUCUGUAUAUAUUUCUAUGUCAUUUGGAGGGGGAGAAUUGUCUUUUUUUCUUUUUUUAAACAUUGAAGAGGGUAAAACAUGGACUUACAGACUGUCCAAAAGGCAAGAUUUGGUGAUGACCUGGCCCCUCGUUUGGUUUCAAUAGGAUCUCUUGGAGAUGGCUCGUAGGAGUGGCCCUGCUCUUCCCUUUCCACACAAGCACCAUUCACCGUCCCGAAGCCCCGAGGAGCGGGAGUGGCGGACCCAGCAGCGUUACUUGAAAGUCUUGAGGGAAGUGAAGGAGGAAUGUGGGGACACUGCUCUGUCCUCUGAUGAGGAGGGUGAGUGUCCUUGGGUAUUUCUGGGAGUCUAGGGUUUUGGAGCCAGUGGUAGCCAUAUAUUUCCCAGUAAAUGGGCCCUCUGUCUUGUUUGGUGGGGUGGAGAAUGGGGCUUACCAGCUGGUGGUUGAGUUGUUGAGACACUGUUGGGGAGUGACUCCAUGCCCUUUUGAUUCUUGUGCUGUGUGGCACCGAGGUUAGAUAGAACGUCUUGGAUAGAUUCCUGCAGGACAGGGACUUGGCACAGUAGGCCUCUGGUCCCAUUGUGCCACUUGAGAGAACUGCUUUUCCCCUUACAGGAGAGUAGUAGUGACUGUUGGCCUGCUGCAAUGCGACCCCAUCACUCUGUUGAAGUCUCUCUCCUGGAAGAGCCGUUUAAAUGUGUGCUCCAGCUCAUCUGGGGAAGGGUCAGAAAGGAAUGUGGAACCCUGGCCUCCAUGUGGUUGGCUUAGCCCUGUUGAACCCAAAUGGCCACUUACCCAAUCUCCCCUAUUGGAGUCCACAGCCACGUUGGAUUUACAAGAAAAAUUUUCUUUUGAAGAUCUCAGCUCAUGGCUUCCAAGCUCUCCAGCACGUUCUCCUAGUCCUGCGGUGCCCCUGAGGGUGGUGCCCACGCUUUCCACCACGGAUAUGAAAACUGCAGGUGAGAACCGAGCUGAUUCUACUGCAGCUUCAUGACAUCAUGGUGUAAAGUGAGAGUUCCUUAAGGAGGUGGGACUGGAUUCUUGGCCUGACACCAAACAGCAGUGCUACUUAGAAGGGGGAGAUGUGAAGAACUAUGGCACCGUGCAGGUGUCCCUGCUUUCCUUUGUUUUGAAGUCAUUCUCAGAAACUGAUCAGUUGCUAUUUUUGGUUAAAGAAAGCAAAAUCGUGCUUGAACUGUCAGUAGAAUGUGUAGCCAGACCCAUAGCAAGUCAGUAGGCUGUAAAGACAAAAAAGAACUUGGAUUCAGAAUAGGAACCGAAGGAGAAUGCCUAGCCUCUCGGACGUGUUUAUGAGUCUGCUAAGUAACUGAAACCAUUUAUUGGUUCAUAUAUAAAAAAAAUGAUGGAUUGCUGACCCUGGGGCGUUAUGAAGACUUGUGCUGCUUAUAGCACACAGAAUUAGUGGCACAGUGGGACCAGAGGCCUCGGUGCUUUUGAAUAUCUGAGUGACUAGGCAGAUCUAAGAGCUCCAUCUAAGAGUGAGUGACCUGGUCCAUGUGGUUUGGUUCAUUUACUUUCAGAUAAAAUAGAACUGGGGGACAGUGACCUGAAGUUAAUGUUAAAGAAGCACCAUGAGAAGCGGAAACAUCAACCAGUAAGAUUGUGGUGGGAGUGGCCAUUUGUAAUUUUCAGUGCGAUGCCUCUGAUUUGUCCUGAGACAGUUUUAGUUAGUGCCUGGGUUGUGGGGUUUUUGUUGUUGUUGUUGUUAUUUUUCACUGUCAAAGACAGGAGCAACAAGAAAGGCUACUUAGCAUCAGAGGUAUGAGAAGCCAGUCAAGUACUUUGACUUUACAAGGCAUGGUUGACAAUGUGUGCUUCCUUCAGUCUUGUGGUUAUACUGGUAUGUGAUAAUAUGGCCUCCCCUCCAUUCCCAGAGGCUGAGUUUAUCCUUGGUCCUGUAGCCAUAUGUGGCAGAGCCAAGAAUCAAGCUUCGUGCUUUGUAUUUUGUGUGGCCCCCACUGCCAUUUCCAUAUGACAAUACAUCAAGGUGGAGAAACAUACUGCAGAGGACAGAGCCAUCUGAGAGAGGUGACGUAGGAAGAGCAGGGGCCGAAGAAAAUUGAGUUUUGUCUUUUACGUCCUCAGGAGACGUAUUUUAGUAUUAAGAUUGUUGUAUGACCAUGUGAAAUAAGAGUGCAGAGGGCUUUAUGACCUGCAGCUACCCUGUAGCAGGAAGGGGAGCCAGGUUUUUCAGCACUGUGAAGAGCAGUAAGUAGUUGGUAUUUUUAUAUAUUUUAAUUUAACAUGAUUACCUCAGGUAUCCCUAACAUACUGUAUUUAUUAGGUAAAUUGUCACAGACACUAUCAAUUCUGGGUUCUUUUUUAGACCUUUAUAACCAGAUCUUUGAUGUCAUAUCUAGGAUCACCCAGACCUUUUGACAGGGGACCUGACCCUCAGUGACAUCAUGACUCGAGUAAAUGCCGGCAGGAAGGGCUCCCUAGCAGGUAAAAGACUAUGGGUCCCCUCUUAGAUACCUGACUUCUGAUGUUAAAUUGUGUGGCAUAUUGUCUAUGUGACAAAAAUAAGUGGAACCAUAGCCUCCUUUAUGCUAACCACCUUUGUUUUGUAAUUACUCUCUGAAUUUAAAAUUAGCACAGCAGGGCCUGGGGGAGAGAGCUCAGUGGAUACAGUGCUUGCUGUCCAAGGGUGAAGAUCAGAGUUUGUAUUCCCAGCACCCAUGUAAAAGCUGGGUGUCACACACAGCCCUCUCUAAUCCCAGUGCUCUGGAGGGCAAGCUAGGACCUCAUAAAAUGAAAUCAAACCAAAUCAGCACAGCAUUAUUAUUAGAUGUUAAAUUAGAAGUCACUCACUGAGUUUGGUUUUCAAAAAAACUUAAGUGUCUUACUACUGAGUCUUUAGACAGGCUUUGGGGAAGGGUAUGCAGCUAAGACCUGUCACUUCAUGAUGCAAUUUUGUGACUUGUAUGUAUGUGUUUCCCUUGUUCCCAGCCUUGUAUGAUUUGGCUGUUCUUAAAAAAAAGGUGAAGGAAAAGGAGGAG